rnacentral:rRNA from 1 species
GACGAACGCUGGCGGCAGGCCUAACACAUGCAAGUCGAGCGAAGCCUUCGGGCUUAGCGGCGGACGGGUGAGUAACGCGUGGGAACGUGCCCUUUGGUACGGAAUAGCCCCGGGAAACUGGGAGUAAUACCGUAUGUGGUCGAGAGACGAAAGAUUUAUCGCCAAAGGAUCGGCCCGCGUUGGAUUAGGUAGUUGGUGGGGUAAUGGCCUACCAAGCUGACGAUCCAUAGCUGGUUUGAGAGGAUGAUCAGCCACACUGGGACUGAGACACGGCCCAGACUCCUACGGGAGGCAGCAGUGGGGAAUCUUAGACAAUGGGGGAAACCCUGAUCUAGCCAUGCCGCGUGAUCGAUGAAGGCCUUAGGGUUGUAAAGAUCUUUCAGUGGGGAAGAUAAUGACUGUACCCACAGAAGAAGCCCCGGCUAACUCCGUGCCAGCAGCCGCGGUAAUAC